UACAGAGGUCCCAAGCGGUUGUUCGGAUUCACUGGGCGUAAAGGGUGCGUAGGUGGUAAGGUAAGUCUGAUGUGAAAGCUCAGAAGCUCAACUCUGAAAUGGCAUUUGGGUACUAUCUUGCUAGAGGUUGGAGGGGGACUGGAAUUCUCGGUGUAGCAGUGAAAUGCGUAGAUAUCGAGAGGAACACCAGUGGCGAAGGCGAGUCCCUGGACAACACCUGACGCUGAGGCGCGAAGGCCAGGGAGGCGAACGGG
rnacentral:rRNA from 1 species